AUUGAACGCUGGCGGCAGGCUUAACACAUGCAAGUCGAGCGGAGAGAAGUCGCUUGCUACUGAUCUUAGCGGCGGACGGGUGAGUAAUGCUUAGGAAUCUGCCUAUUAGUGGGGGACAACAUUCCGAAAGGGAUGCUAAUACCGCAUACGCCCUACGGGGGAAAGCAGGGGAUCUUCGGACCUUGCGCUAAUAGAUGAGCCUAAGUCGGAUUAGCUAGUUGGUGGGGUAAAGGCCUACCAAGGCGACGAUCUGUAGCGGGUCUGAGAGGAUGAUCCGCCACACUGGGACUGAGACACGGCCCAGACUCCUACGGGAGGCAGCAGUGGGGAAUAUUGGACAAUGGGGGGAACCUGAUCCAGCCAUGCCGCAUGUGUGAAGAAGGCCUUAUGGUUGUAAAGCACUUUAAGCGAGGAGGAGGCCACUGAGACUAAUACUCUUGGAUAGUGGACGUUACUCGCAGAAUAAGCACCGGCUAACUCUGUGCCAGCCGCCGCGGUAAGAC
rnacentral:rRNA from 1 species